rnacentral:Y_RNA from 1 species
AACUGGUCCAAAGAUAGUCGUCUCAACUGAUUGUUCACAGUCGGUUACAGAUCAACUCUUCAUUCUACUCUUUUCCCCACUCUCACUACUGCACUUCACUAAUCUUAA